GGCGCCGUAAAAUUACAACUGGUUACGUCCAAAACGCUGCCCUGUCACGGCAGAGGUCGCGAGUUCGAGUCUCGUCGUCCCCGCCA
rnacentral:tRNA from 1 species